UCCCAACUCAUAUUCCUCUGUUUCACUUUUCUUUUUUCUCGGGCGGCCUAAAUCGGAUCUGUGGUCUUCUUGCCCGGCAGGCCGUUGUCGCUUUCGAAUCUGGUAUUGUGGUUGCUGAUGCAGUCUAAGGCAGCAGCCGCCACAAGUUUGAUGGAGUGGCGCUGGGUGGAUGGCCACGGUGGAGUGGACGACGCAGCCGUCACCCGCGGCCCUGGAGGCGGAGGAGCCAUGGUAGCAGCGGCAUACUCUAGGGAGGGAGCUUGAUGUCGUGGGUUUGGCUCUAGGAGGAGAAGCCACCUGCUGCUCCUGAACGGUGACGACAGCGGCAGGACCAGAUAUGGCAACAAAGAGACCAAGCAACGAUGUGCUCGACCACACGCUCUCCAUCCCCAUCUCCAGGAAAGCAAUUAUUUCAACUGGUUUGAGGUGUGAUCAGAAGUCCUCUAGCUUCUGGAUUCCCAAAACUUCGACGUGGAGCAGUGCCAAAAAGUCUAGCUUCAUGGAGCCAGAUCCGAGAAGCUAGCCCAAUUUGAUGUACAAAUACACAUCUAUAUAAGUGGAUCUGAUUAAAGGGGCAUUGGCACCAUCGACAUCUUGAUGGCAGAGCAAGGUUGUGACUUCCUUGCUCUAGCAUUACAUUUUUUUAGUUGCCUUACGAUGUAGUACUUGAUUCUGGAAAUCAAAUCUUAAUAUGAUUAUUACUAUAUAUCACCAUUGUAAACUGUGAUAUAUGUUUGCCUUAUAAUGUAAAUCUUAUGUUUAUGAUUAUCAAUGGGAGCGUGUGUGUGUGUGUCAGGCCAGUUUCAUUUUAGACGAGAGAAAAAAAUUGUAUUAACAAGGAAUGGCAAAAAUAUUUGAUUAUACAUUUGGGUUUAGUUCCAUGUUCUUUUGUUUCGACCUAUUUAAUUGUCUUCCAUUUCUCUGGACAGUUUACAUGGCAUUGACUGCAUCAAUUAUCUCAUUUGAGCACACCAUAUUUUCAUGUGGUUUCUCUCAAGAUCUAGAUUUUACCAGUUGUUCAUUAUAUGUAAUUUAUCUUUUGUGCUCUGUAUUUCCAAAAUUAAUCAAUAAAAAAUAUGCAAAUCUACGGCCCCUUAUUUAUUUUGCAGUCCCUCUUUCCUUGCAAAUGUUAAACUUUUGUGUUUUGAUGCCAACUACAAAGAAGGUUUUGUGUGGAAAACUGGAAAUAGAUAAGCAUGAUUCGAAGGCAGGGUAUUCAGAUUUUUACAACAGGAUUGUUUUCCUUACUUCAUAGGUUCUCAUGGUGCUCCUCUAAGAUUUUUUUUGUGGUCAGUUAAUUUUUUGUUGCCAUCCAGUUUUUAGUGAUGCUCAACUUUCGAGUUUUGUAAGCAGGCUGUCAGGCAUGAAUUUCUAAAGUAGAUGAAUAUGAAAUGAAUCAAUCUUGAUUUGUGUUUAAUUUGCCUUUGGUGGCAGUUUGAUGGUUCAGACUCAGUUGAGUAGCAGAUCUCUUUUUGCGCACACUUUUCAGUCCUCAAUCCAUGCUGAAUUCUUUCGUUCCGAGUUCAGAUAUUAUUUUCGCGUAGAGGGCUUAGUUAAAAAAAAUUGCAAAAAAACAUACGAGUAAGGAGGUAUUGUUCUGAAAUAAUUUUCUUAACUAUACAUGACACCGGUAUUUUAGUAUUUAUGGUAGAAUUUGAAAGGAUGAUAACAUUACAAUACCUUAUGCUAUAUGGUUAUGUAAGAAUGGUGUUGUAGGCUCUACGUUAACUGACUAUGAUAUCAUUUGAGAGAGAUGUUCUAUGUUACUAAUUAAUUAGAGCUCUGGCAAUAUGGUAAGCGAUUUCUUCAAGUUGACGUUCUGAACAUCUGCCAAGAAAACCAGGUGCCACGGGCACCUGAGAGUGGAGGCACCGAUUGCUGGAGAAGCGAGGGUGAGGAGGGCGGUGGCAGCGCAGAUGAGGUACGCAAUCUAUAUCCUUUACCUCUCUUAGUUCUUUGGCCCUGCUUGCUGUUUUGACAUGGUCAACUAGGAUAAUAUCGAGCCAAUGAAGCCUUUCAAUGUGGACUAAAACUUACAUUGCUUCAAUGGAUAUGCAUCUGAAGGAGGCAAGGAGCAAUUUGUGCAUGUGCUAUUACAGGUAUAAAUCCUCUCUGUCUACACAAUUUUCGGAUGCAACUCAUGUAAUUCAUUGUAUUGGCUUAUCCAAUCCUACACAUUGGUUUGUGAUCUGCAGGUAUUCACGAUUUCUUUUAGCUUCCAGAUUUUUUUUUUUGGCUUCAGUUAUAUUGCUCGCCAGAAUGGUAUACUUAGCUGAAAACAAUAGUGCCACAGUGAAACAAUUGUGUCUAGGUCAGAACGGCAAUGAAGACAACAUUGGUCAUGGAUGCUUGGCAGAGAGGCCAUCAAUGGAAGAUACUUGUGCGUGUCACGGGCUUCUAAGAAGACAAAGAUUCAACAAUCUAUAUGAAUUGGAUUUCAUCUUGGUCUGACUGCGAGGCACUAACUACAGGAUAGAAACAAAGCAUACUUACAGUCGGCUGAAUCCGCUCUUGCUUCACGGGAGGUUGCCUAAAUCCUCUAUUGUUCCUCCUUAGACUCUUGAAGGUCGACUAUAUCAGUGCAAAUAUCAAGAAGGUGCAUCAAAAGUAUGGAACUGUGUGCGCUGCCGACUUCACUCACCACUAUAAAGCUUUGACCCUAAUAUUCACUCACCACUAUAAAGUUUUGGCCCUAAUAAGACCAGUUCAUAUUGACACUAUGUGUACCUGUUUCACCUAUCUAUCCUGUUUUGUAAGAUCA